UACAGAGGGUGCGAGCGUUAAUCGGAAUUACUGGGCGUAAAGCGCACGUAGGCGGCUUGGUAUGUCGGGUGUGAAAUCCCCGGGCUCAACCUGGGAACUGCAUCCGAAACUGCCUUGCUAGAGUAUGGGAGAGGGAAGUGGAAUUUCCGGUGUAGCGGUGAAAAUGCGUAGAUAUCGGAAGGAGCAUCAGUGGCGAAGGCGACUUCCUGGACCAAUACUGACGCUCAGGUGCGAAAGCGUGGGGAGCAAACAGG
rnacentral:rRNA from 1 species